CAGGAACUGAGUCUGAAGAAAUAAAGGGCAAUGUUUGUCACAAUAAUAGAAAAGCCUGGACUGUGCACAAUGAAAAGGCAGAGUCCAUAUUAAUGAACUAUUAAAUUGUAUCUUACAAAUUCCAUUCAGGAUACAUACAUAAACAGAAAAAGAGAGAGAGAAAGACCAUACUGAAUUCAGAAGUCUCAACAAAUGGAUACCUAAGCAAUGACUUCACCUACAACAGACCCUUCUAUUGCUUUUUGCUUCUCUUUGAUCACCAGCAGUAGGAGUAGCUGCAGGAAGAUAGUGCUGGCAACAAAAGCUACUACGGCCAGGCAACAUGGCUCACACCUGUAACUCAGCACUUUGGGAGAGGGAAAUGGGAGGGCCACUUGAGCCCAGGAGUUUGAGACCAGCCUAGGCAACAAA
rnacentral:lncRNA from 1 species